rnacentral:rRNA from 1 species
CCUACGGGUGGCUGCAGUGAGGAAUAUUGGUCAAUGGACGAAAGUCUGAACCAGCCAAGUAGCGUGAAGGAUGACUGCCCUCUGGGUUGUAAACUUCUUUUAUAUGGGAAUAAAAUGUUCCACGUGUGGGAUUUUGUAUGUACCAUAUGAGUAAGGAUCGGCUAACUCCGUGCCAGCAGCCGCGGUAAUACGGAGGAUCCGAGCGUUAUCCGGAUUUAUUGGGUUUAAAGGGAGCGUAGGUGGAUUGUUAAGUCAGUUGUGAAAGUGUGCGGCUCAACCGUAAAAUUGCAGUUGAAACUGGCAGUCUUGAGUACAGUAGAGGUGGGCGGAAUUCGUGGUGUAGCGGUGAAAUGCUUAGAUAUCACGAAGAACUCCGAUUGCGAAGGCAGUUCACUGGACUGCAACUGACACUGAGGCUCGAAAGUGUGGGUAUCAAACAGGAUUAGAUACCCGGGUAGUC